GCUCUAACCUCUGAGCUAAGCGGGC
rnacentral:tRNA from 4 species